UGGGGAAUAUUGCACAAUGGGGGAAACCCUGAUGCAGCGACGCCGCGUGAACGAAGAAGGUAUUCGUAUCGUAAAGUUCUGUCCUAUGGGAAGAUAAUGACAGUACCAUAGAAGAAAGCCCCGGCUAAAUACGUGCCAGCAGCCGCGGUAAUACGUAUGGAGCGAGCGUUGUCCGGAAUUAUUGGGCGUAAAGGGUACGCAGGCGGUUUAAUAAGUCGAAUGUUAAAGAUCGGGGCUCAACCCCGCAAAGCAUUGGAAACUGAAAAACUUGAGUAGUGGAGAAGAAAGUGGAAUUCCUAGUGUAGUGGUGAGAUACGUGGAUAUUAGGAGGAAUACCAGUAGCGAAGGCGACUUUCUGGACACAAACUGACGCUGAGGUACGAAAGCGUGGGGAGCAAACAGG
rnacentral:rRNA from 1 species